UGACUAGCAAGUAUGCUGCUUUUUUUUUGAGAACCCAAAAUAUGAUUUCACCACUGAUAGCAAAUAAGGAAAGAGAACGAGUACCACACGGAAAGUGAAAGUGAAGUCGCUCAGUCGUGUCCGACUCUUUGCGACCCCACGGACUGUAGCCUACCAGGCUCCUCCCUCCAUGGGAUUCUCCAGGCAAGAGUACUGGAGUGGGUUGCCAUUUCCUUCUCCAGGGAAUCUUCCCGACCCAGGGAACAACCUCCCAAAAUUAAACAGUCUCAUAACACAGAAGAUGACGGUUGGCCGACUCACUGAAGCCCCUGGGUUCACUUUUUGCCGAGUUAUUAAUAUAAUUUCAGCCCUGACCUAAUGUCAAGAAGCAGUUAGGGAACAACCGCAGAAUACUGCUUCCCAAGUCUAAAAAAGACGCCCCUGCCGUGCCAUUGUUGCCACAAUGCCGUGACUCGGAUUCGAACCGAGGUUGCUGCGGCCACAACGCAGAGUACUAACCACUAUACGAUCACGGCGAGCUACUGGGACGCCGCGAGUAAUGCGUCACCCAGUGUCGUCCUCGUCUAGAUGGCUGCCGCCCUCGCCUGCCCAAGUUGCUCACUAUCAGCCCCUCCGGUUCUGGCACAAAGCCUGAAGCGGAGUAGAGGCGCCGUAGACCCCGGGCCGAAGUCUCUGUUGAUCGUCCGCCUGGACCGUUAAAGUACUUUGCAAACUAAAGGACCCUUGGGACGCCGGGCCUGCGAACCGGACUCUCACGCAGCCUGGAGGGGAUGUGAGGCCUGCGUCAGCGGGUCGUCCGAAUAGCGGCGCGGGUCUCCUCUCACACCCAUUGUGCCCUGGCGCUCGUGCUGUCUGAACAGGCUCUGGCUGGGAAUGGGACUGUCUCUUAACUCUCACAAGAAGAAAAAUCAGUUCGGGCCCACAGCACAACUUUCUUCGAGAUGCGGAGUAAGAUAACCCCAAGACACCUCGCACCGCGGUAGUGAAACCGCAAGAUCUGUCCCGCGGGCGAGUGCGGACUGAUAUUCAGACAGCUGAAACACAGUGCGCCUGCGUGCGCACGGACAGAGCGGCGAGGCUUGAGAUGGGCGGGAAUUAGCAAUGUCACAGCCAGGGGGCGGGGCUUUAAACAGAGAAGAGCUCAGGCGAGAAGCGAAAGACACAGGUCCCCAGUAGCUCGCCGUGAUCGUAUAGUGGUUAGUACUCUGCGUUGUGGCCGCAGCAACCUCGGUUCGAAUCCGAGUCACGGCAGUGCGAAAGCAGUGGCACGGCAAGGGGGCUUCAUUUUAGCCUUCGCCUCCAUUUUUUUUUUAAUCUUCAGUUUGUGACAAUUUUCUCGAAAAUGGAUCCCAAUCCCCUCGUGACAGAAACGAUAUUUACGCCAGGUCUGGCUACACUGGAUUUCGGAAGAAUAUAGGCUUCCGCUUACACUGGGCUACGCACGUUAUCCGGCACAACCCAAACAAAGCACAGAACACUCAAGAGGCAAAGUGCUAAAAUUAACAUAUGUACAAAUUUCCAUAGCAGCACUGGAAAUGGGCUUCCGGUAAUAGAAGUCUUCGCAGAAGAAGUGACCUUGGAAGUAGCUCUUUACAGGCAGAAAGGGAAUUUGUCAAGCAGCAAGCAGCCAGGAUAAUCUCGUGAGCUAAGGUCUUGAAAUGGAACGAAGAGAAUUCCUCUUUGCAGGUCUUCUCUUCAUCUCAUCCCCACGACGCUUACAGGCCCUGGUCGGAAAGGUAGUAUUAAGCGCUUCUCAAGGACCUGUUGAAAGCAAGUAACUAAGAAAUGGGAAACGACACUGAGGAAAGUCCACAAGAUGAACUGUUAAAGGCUCCGCAGUCGAGGGGUGUUGGGAAGAGAGGUAGAGGAGUGCGAUUCCAUUCGGGUUUAGCAGGAUCCUUCCGACUGCUCUGCAGUGGGGGAAGGGGGGUAGUGAUUAGAGCAGACGACACUGGAGAAAGACGGGUGGUCCCUCUGGAUUCACUCAUUAGAACCAGUGGCACGUUCUGUUUAGCAAAAAGGCACUGCCUACUGUGGACUCAGCCUGGUUCUAGGCGCCUUGCGGACGAAAGCUCCGAUGUAUCCAGAAGGAAAAUCGGGCUCCCUCCCUGCUGCGCUCAGGGACACAACAGAGGAUGGCACCGGAUCCGGCGGAAACACAGGUUGGAAGGUCAGAAUUCAUUUGGAGACCCUCUGAAGGCAGGAGGAGGAGGGGUUGAAUGGCAUCACCGACUGGAUGGACAUGAGUUUGAGCAAGCUCCAGGAGUUGGUGAUGGACAAGGAAGACUGGCAUGCUGCAGUCCAUGGGGUCGCAGAGUCAGACACGACUGUGCGACUGAACUGAACUGGACUUCCAUUUUUUCCUUAUUGUCAGAAUCCAACUUAAAUCACAAACCACUCAAGUUAGAAAAUUCAAGUUCAGUGAAGGUAGAACUGAAUCCUACUAUGUUUGUGUUCCAAGAAUACAGCCUCCCCAUAAAUAUUUGAACAGAGAUAUCUUAUGGAGUCCAUAAAUGAGAUAAGUGGCCCAGUUUGCUGUAUGGCUGCAUUUUAAGUUGUAUUCUUGCAACACAGAACCAUGUUAUUUUUAUACCAGAAAACAUGACUCAAAUGAAGCUCCAUCUACAUGCAGAAUAUCUAAGAACAGAAGUCAUAUAUUUGGGAUAUGUUUGUCUUCUCAAGGUUGUGGACAGAGAUGAACACAAGGCAAGGCUGGAGACCAAAGGCAAGGGCCAGACUUAGAAGAAGACAAAACCAGAAGGAAUGAGAGUUCAGAAUGGGACUGGGCAUUCAAAGGCAAGCAAAUAGAAGUAAGGACAUCCCAUGCAGUACCCAGCAAGGGAAGUGAGCACUAAGGACUAGGCUUUGGGACAUGUGCAAACUUACCAAGUUAAGGGAGGAAGAGAGGAUUUGUCUUGAGAGAAAAGAGAGCAGCAUCAUUUCAAGAAAAGUUUGGAAGAAGAGGGUUUUACGCAUAGAGGAGGUCAGCAGACAGGAGAAAGAGAAAUGAGAAGUCACUGGUCUUAACACAUAAAAGUCGUUGACUUUUAAAACCUUCUGUGAGAGCAAACAGAUAACGUGUAACAAGAGUCAGAAAAAAAUAUACACUCUUUGCCCCAAUAACUCCACUUUUGGGAAUCUUGCCAAAGGAAAUUAUCCUAAACUUGGAAAAUUUAUCCACAUAAAGAUGUUUGUUACAGUUAUUUAGAAGGGAGGAGAAUGGAAAUAGCCUAAAUGCUCAACAAAUAAAGUGAUAAACUAAAGUAUGUUCAUUUGAUGAGAUAUUAAAUAGCCAUUUUUAAAGUA